rnacentral:lncRNA from 1 species
ACGUCCAGUAGGCAGCUGGCAGCCUUAGUGAUGACGCCAAGCAGGCUUACAGCAGGCAGAAAUAUUCAGGUUGGCUUGAAAUUUUACCCAAGCCAUGCCACAUACUCGGGCCAGGCCUCUUGUGAACUACGUAUGACAAGGCUCAACGCAUCAGUGUCGACUGAGUCCGGAGAUCAAGGAAACCUGCUGUGCAACCAGCGCGCAACACUUGGUGACCCCUCUACGUGUUCCAUCUAUUUCACAGCUGUACCUUAGUUUCCAUCUAUCCAUACAGCAUCACCAGCUGUUUCUUAUCUUAUCGAUCACUUAUUAAAUCAUGGAUGAAUGUUGGGGUGGAGUGAUUUGAACAGACAUUCUAUUUGUCUCUUCAAAUUCUUUGCAAAUAUUUCUAUUAUUAUAAUUCCUAUGUUUCUUUAGUACCUAGUUUUUAAUAGUUCCUUUCUCGUAAAGUUCUUACCAUCAACUCCUGCUAUUAUAAUGUAUACCUGUCUUUAUGCCCCGUUUCUCAUAGUUCUUUUGUACUUGUGGAUGUAAUUGAUAGGUUCUUAAUUCUUGUUGUACAGAAGGCUAAAAUGCACACUUACGGUAUUUUGUCUUCCUUUGAUAACCUACAGCACUGCAAUGUGUUCAAGAAAUUUAACAUAACACGGGCUCUGGUGCAGGAUAAAUUUAAGAGCAAUAUAGAGUACUUAUUUCAAGCACCCGUUAUUUUUGAAAAACUCGAGGAUAUAAGAGCACAAGAAAGAAAAUAUUAAACUAUAGAAACAUGGGUUCCCCUCAUAAGCCUGGUAAUAAUGUGACUUUUUUUCGCUGCAAGGAUACCAGUGGUACUCGCAUACAAGGUUUGAGACGUAAAAGCUAUGAUACCCUUGGCAUUUCUCAGUGCUUAUUUGCCACACUGACGAAUGUCAAAGGCAGCAUAGGUUUCAUGCACACAUUGGUUAAAUUACACCUUUUGAGUAUUGCAUUUCUCAGACAUACAGGUUUACAGCAGUGCUUUAAAUAGCAGAUGUAUUUCCUAAUUUUCAGAAUUUGUUAAUGCAAGAUUAACGUUACAGGUCAUGUAUAAAUAAUUUUACAGACUAUAUGUCCAUGGAUGCAUGCUUCUUCUGAUGACGAAGCAGUGCCAUGUGGUCGGGGGAUAAAUGUCUUUCUUUCAGAUUUAAACAUUGGCUUCCAGGUCUGGGUUAGUCUCCUACACUGAGUAUUCUAGGUCAGAGACCAUUUACUAGAGGAAAGUGAAUUAAACUAGGAAUUGUAAACACCAAAAGAUCUUGUUCGGGACAAUAAUGUGACAAUCAGCAAGGUGCUUUGUGCAUUCAUUUCCAAAUUUGUGAGAUUAUAUUUUGACUGGUUUCACUAACGCGAGAAUAAAUAUUUGUUUGUUCUCACACUAGAGUUGGCUGCCCCCAUUGCCACACAACCCCUUUACAGGCUAAACAUUCAGUGUAUUAAUAGGCUGUUUUUUGGUUUUACGCACUCAGUGUUAAGGGAUCCAAACGGUGACAUACAACAGAAUGCAGAAAAAUGACUAAGGAGUACAAGCAGGGCGUGGGGCUUUUUAGGCAGAUGCAUGCAUGUGCUACUUAUAAAACUCCUUAUGGUAUGCCUGAAGGCAUUUUCUAACCCUUUUGUAGAAACACUAACACCCACUUAUUAAGGGGAAAUGCUUCUCGAAACAACUUCUUUUAAUUAUUUGUGCUAGAGGUUUGAAUAUACUGCCAUUCAUAGGGAGUUUUAUGUAGAUUUGAAUUGUCAUUGGUUUUUGUAUAGCUGGUGUUUUUUAGUUAUAUCCUACAUAGUGGCAAAAUAUUUUUAUGCACACUUGCUUGUAAAUAUUUCCCAGUUAUUUUUUCAGGCUACAAUUUUUGGUAAUAAUGGUAUUCGUUGCAGAAAGGGCUAGUACAUAGCAUUUAAUAAAAAAGGUAUUGGUCUGUA